rnacentral:rRNA from 3 species
UGGGGAAUAUUGCACAAUGGAGGGAACUCUGAUGCAGCGACGCCGCGUGAACGAAGAAGGCUUUCGAGUCGUAAAGUUCUUUUAUAUGGGAAGAUAAUGACGGUACCAUAAGAAAAAGCCCCGGCUAACUACGUGCCAGCAGCCGCGGUAAUACGUAGGGGGCUAGCGUUGUCCGGAAUCACUGGGCGUAAAGGGUUCGCAGGCGGAAAUGCAAGUCAGGUGUAAAAGGCAGUAGCUUAACUACUGUAAGCAUUUGAAACUGCAUAUCUGAGAAGAGUAGAGGUAAGUGGAAUUUUUAGUGUAGCGGUGAAAUGCGUAGAUAUUAAAAAGAAUACCGGUGGCGAAGGCGACUUACUGGGCUCAUUCUGACGCUGAGGAACGAAAGCGUGGGUAGCAAACAGG